UCGUUACAACGACGAGUAAAAGGUACAAACUAGACAAAUUACCCUAAAUGGUAGAUUUUAAAAACGUAGGCUAGUCUUUGGGAGAGGUAACAGAAAGCCAAAUAGUGAGCUGUUCCACCAGGCUAUUUUCAUCCUACCAACCAUUUACCGGUAGUUCCUCUCUUGCUGCUGGCGGUCGCGGACACGGAUCGAAGUUGCAGUGGUGAUACAUGGCCGCGACCCAGUCGGAGGUAGCCUACUCGCCUGACAUUCGCCCGCACCUGGGACUAGGGUUGUCACCUUCAAUACUGAGAAAUAAGGGACGCCUGCCAUAGCGGCGGGGGCCACACCCCUCGGGGCCACGAAGACCACAGGCCCGAUGACGUGCAAGUGGUGAGCUCUGUCUGCAAGGCUGCCUCUGAAGAUAUUCCGCCCCACCACACACACACACGCACACACGCACAUCCAUACACACACACCCAUAUCCAUACACACACACACACACACAUUCACACACACCUACACCCACAGCUGUACCCAUAUUGUGCCCAGAUGUAUUUUGGUCUGCACCCGUUGAUUAUGCCCCUUUGAAAUCGAAAAUGAACUGGGAAGUUAAACACCAAUACACAUUGACGUAGCAAUUCCAGGACUAAUAAAAUGAAGCCUCUGCAUGUAUGUUGAACUGUUUCUGAUUUUGAAUGGAUUUACAAUUUUUUGUCGUUUUGUUGUUCGUUUCACAAACUGCCAAAGGCUAUGCCAUUAAAUGGCAUUAAUAAAAAUAUGAAAUAAUUCAGUCCAGGUUUUUGUUAAAGGUUUUAGUGAUAAAUUGCUACAUGUAUUGCUCAGUCAAGUUCAGUUCACAGUGGCAAUGGCUCCCACUGCUGGACACAGGGUUUGUUCAGGUGAAUAUAGCCACGUCGGGGAAACUAGAAUCACCCCCGCUGCUAAACACACACCUAGACCUACAACGGGUCAGGUCAUGCAAGAAAAAAUACAUUAUUACUGAUGUGUUUCGCAAGCUGUAAAAUACCAAAAUGUAAACUUUUUUAUUUAUUAUUAUCAUAGAACAGAUUAAAAGAUUCUCACAGAACAUA